rnacentral:rRNA from 1 species
UACAGAGGGUGCAAGCGUUAAUCGGAAUUACUGGGCGUAAAGCGCGCGUAGGUGGUUCGUUAAGUUGGAUGUGAAAUCCCCGGGCUCAACCUGGGAACUGCAUUCAAAACUGACGGGCUAGAGUAUGGUAGAGGGUGGUGGGAAUUUCCUGUGUAGCGGUGAAAUGCGUAGAUAUAGGAAGGAACACCAGUGGCGAAGGCGACCACCUGGACUGAUACUGACACUGAUGCGCGACAGCAUGGGGAGCAAACAGG